ACAUGCGACCAUACCCACUGGAGAACUCGGGAUCCCGUCCGCUCUCCCAUCGAUAAACCAGCGAGGGCCGGAGUAGUAGUUGGGUCGGAGACGACCAGCGAAUGCCCGGUGUUGCAUGUA
rnacentral:rRNA from 1 species